rnacentral:rRNA from 1 species
AUGCUAUACCCGGGGGAGGGGGGAGCGGGACUGGAGCUUGAUUUGGACAGGGGGCGGUUUGUGGCUCCCGUGCGCGUUGAAGAUCCGGCGGCGGCCGCGUCCUGCAUCAACGGCGCGACGAGGAAUCAUAGGACAGACGGGAGAGAUGAGGUGAUGGGAGGAGGAAGGAAGGAACGGGGAGGGACUCACCGACGCGGUGGCGCUCGCCGGAGGCUGGCUGGCGGCGGGGUCACACGAAAACGGCGGCACGCGUGUGGCACCCUCCCCGGCGGCGCGAGCAGGAAGGAGGAGGUGCACAGGAGGCGUAGGUGCUACGGUGAGAUGGGCUUCAGAUGUGCAGCCGGCCCUAGCGCUGCAACUUCUGCAUCAGAGAAGUGCGACCCUGAUGAAGCUGCUCCCCUACAUCAAGGACUACCCCAACAGUGCGGCCUUGAUGGCACAACUCCCAUACACCAAGGACUAGCCCCAUGGUGCGGCCACGACAUCACUGCUCCCCUACACCGCCGACUACAACCUGAGAUCUUAGAACAGGUUUGCAGGUUCAUUGGAACAAAUGUUCAAAAGGAAGAUGCACAGUAA